UGCAAGUCGAACGAACUCUGGUAUUGAUUGGUGCUUGCAUCAUGAUUUACAUUUGAGUGAGUGGCGAACUGGUGAGUAACACGUGGGAAACCUGCCCAGAAGCGGGGGAUAACACCUGGAAACAGAUGCUAAUACCGCAUAACAACUUGGACCGCAUGGUCCGAGCUUGAAAGAUGGCUUCGGCUAUCACUUUUGGAUGGUCCCGCGGCGUAUUAGCUAGAUGGUGGGGUAACGGCUCACCAUGGCAAUGAUACGUAGCCGACCUGAGAGGGUAAUCGGCCACAUUGGGACUGAGACACGGCCCAAACUCCUACGGGAGGCAGCAGUAGGGAAUCUUCCACAAUGGACGAAAGUCUGAUGGAGCAACGCCGCGUGAGUGAAGAAGGGUUUCGGCUCGUAAAACUCUGUUGUUAAAGAAGAACAUAUCUGAGAGUAACUGUUCAGGUAUUGACGGUAUUUAACCAGAAAGCCACGGCUAACUACGUGCCAGCAGCCGCGGUAAUACGUAGGUGGCAAGCGUUGUCCGGAUUUAUUGGGCGUAAAGCGAGCGCAGGCGGUUUUUUAAGUCUGAUGUGAAAGCCUUCGGCUCAACCGAAGAAGUGCAUCGGAAACUGGGAAACUUGAGUGCAGAAGAGGACAGUGGAACUCCAUGUGUAGCGGUGAAAUGCGUAGAUAUAUGGAAGAACACCAGUGGCGAAGGCGGCUGUCUGGUCUGUAACUGACGCUGAGGCUCGAAAGUAUGGGUAGCAAACAGGAUUAGAUACCCUGGUAGUCCAUACCGUAAACGAUGAAUGCUAAGUGUUGGAGGGUUUCCGCCCUUUCAGUGCUGCAGCUAACGCAUUAAGCAUUCCGCCUGGGGAGUACGGCCGCAAGGCUGAAACUCAAAGGAAUUGACGGGGGCCCGCACAAGCGGUGGAGCAUGUGGUUUAAUUCGAAGCUACGCGAAGAACCUUACCAGGUCUUGACAUACUAUGCAAAUCUAAGAGAUUAGACGUUCCCUUCGGGGACAUGGAUACAGGUGGUGCAUGGUUGUCGUCAGCUCGUGUCGUGAGAUGUUGGGUUAAGUCCCGCAACGAGCGCAACCCUUAUUAUCAGUUGCCAGCAUUAAGUUGGGCACUCUGGUGAGACUGCCGGUGACAAACCGGAGGAAGGUGGGGAUGACGUCAAAUCAUCAUGCCCCUUAUGACCUGGGCUACACACGUGCUACAAUGGAUGGUACAACGAGUUGCGAACUCGCGAGAGUAAGCUAAUCUCUUAAAGCCAUUCUCAGUUCGGAUUGUAGGCUGCAACUCGCCUACAUGAAGUCGGAAUCGCUAGUAAUCGCGGAUCAGCAUGCCGCGGUGAAUACGUUCCCGGGCCUUGUACACACCGCCCGUCACACCAUGAGAGUUUGUAACACCCAAAGUCGGUGGGGUAACCUUUUAGGAACCAGCC
rnacentral:rRNA from 1 species